AUUCUAAAGAUCAAACUUGGCACGGUCAUCACUGGUACCCAUGUCUGGCAAUUCUUAACCCUUUGGAUACUCGUGAACGACUUUCAUCUUGAUGAACAAAUCGCGGAUGACAUCGUUUGGAAGCACUCAAAUGAUGGACUUUACUCGGCAACUACCGCUUACAAGGCUCAAUUCCUUGGGUUGACUCUUUCCUCGAUGGAUUUCAUGGUUUGA
rnacentral:rRNA from 1 species